rnacentral:lncRNA from 10 species
GGCAGCAGCUUGGAUGCGGACCCUCAGUCCUCAGGCAGUCCUUCAGCUCCUACUUAAUGGAAGCCUCGCAGAUGCAAGAUGGCUCCAGCAGGCCCAGCAUCACUUCUUCUCAGUGUCCCAAAGCCAGAAGAGAGGCUGUUGUUUUUAAAAGCAGGAAAACUUUCCUAAACUUGGCCAGAAUUGCAUCACAGACCCUUUCCUAAAACAAUUUCCAGCAAAGGGAAUAGACUUACCAUGUCUGGUACAGAUGAAUCAAGGUUUGCCCCUGGGGGCUGGGGAGGGGCUUGUCCCGCUGAAGCAGACUCUUGCCCAGCAGCUGAACGAAGCCUAGGUUCACCAGACGGAGGAAGAGACUGGCCACUAACAGUGCCUGACACACAGAUGUGCUUCCUGUGAUAUCGCUGCUGCCACCGUUCCAAAUGUAAGCAGUUGGCUGUCUGGGAUACUACCUACCUUCUUUUGUGUUCUUAUUAAUAAAAUUAAAGAUUGCUUUCUGGGUAGAGA